rnacentral:rRNA from 1 species
UUAGCGGCGGACGGGUGAGUAACACGUGGAUAACCUACCUAUAAGACUGGGAUAACUUCGGGAAACCGGAGCUAAUACCGGAUAAGAUUUUGAACCGCAUGGUUCAAUAGUGAAAGACGGCCUUGCUGUCACUUAUAGAUGGAUCCGCGCCGUAUUAGCUAGUUGGUAAGGUAACGGCUUACCAAGGCAACGAUACGUAGCCGACCUGAGAGGGUGAUCGGCCACACUGGAACUGAGACACGGUCCAGACUCCUACGGGAGGCAGCAGUAGGGAAUCUUCCGCAAUGGGCGAAAGCCUGACGGAGCAACGCCGCGUGAGUGAUGAAGGUCUUCGGAUCGUAAAACUCUGUUAUCAGGGAAGAACAAACGUGUAAGUAACUGUGCACGUCUUGACGGUACCUGAUCAGAAAGCCACGGCUAACUACGUGCCAGCAGCCGCGGUAAUACGUAGGUGGCAAGCGUUAUCCGGAAUUAUUGGGCGUAAAGCGCGCGUAGGCGGUUUUUUAAGUCUGAUGUGAAAGCCCACGGCUCAACCGUGGAGGGUCAUUGGAAACUGGAAAACUUGAGUGCAGAAGAGGAAAGUGGAAUUCCAUGUGUAGCGGUGAAAUGCGCAGAGAUAUGGAGGAACACCAGUGGCGAAGGCGACUUUCUGGUCUGUAACUGACGCUGAUGUGCGAAAGCGUGGGGAUCAAACAGGAUUAGAUACCCUGGUAGUCCACGCCGUAAACGAUGAGUGCUAAGUGUUAGGGGGUUUCCGCCCCUUAGUGCUGCAGCUAACGCAUUAAGCACUCCGCCUGGGGAGUACGACCGCAAGGUUGAAACUCAAAGGAAUUGACGGGGACCCG